UUUAGAACUGGAGAUAUGAGCUGAACACUGAAUAGUGUCUGAGCUGCAUGACAAAUUCAGACGUCUUUUUUUAUGCUAAGAUUUGAACUUAAAAACGGAAGAUUUGAAUCUUUGACUCUUCAUGAAAGUUUUAGACGUAUGUCUUAGCUUUCUAUC
rfam:Populus trichocarpa scaffold_1227_contig_1, whole genome shotgun sequence.